rnacentral:rRNA from 1 species
UUUAGGGGUAAAGCACUGUUUCGGUGCGGGCUGGUAAAACGGUACCAAAUCGAGGCAAACUAAGAAUACUAAAUGAAUAAUUUACCAGUGAGACUGUGGGGGAUAAGCUCCAUUGUCAAGAGGGAAACAGCCCAGAGCACCAGUUAAGGCCCCAAAAUGAUUGCUAAGUGGCAAAGGAGGUGGGAGUGCAUAGACAAUCAGGAGGUUUGCUUAGAAGCAGCAAUCCUUUAAAGAGUGCGUAAUAGCUCACUGAUCGAGUAAACCUGCGCCGAAAAUGUACGGGACUAAGUAAUCUGCCGAAACUGUGCGAUAUAUAAAUAAUUAAUAUAUCGGUAGGGGAGCGUUCUGUUGUAGGUCGAAGUAUUAGCGUAAGCGGAUAUGGACGAAGCAGAAGUGAGAAUGUCGGCUUGAGUAACGAAAAUAUAGGUGGGAAUCCUAUACCCCGAAAACCCAAGGUUUCCUCCGGAAGGCUCGUCCGCGGAGGGUAAGUCAGGACCUAAGGCGAGGCUGAAAAGCGUAGUCGAUGGACAACGGGUUAAUAUUCCCGUACCAUUUUUUACUGAUAUCGAGGGACGGAGAAGGCUAAGCUAGCCGGAUAUUGGUUACCGGUUUAAGCGUUCGAGGUGUUGAGAAACGGAGAAAACGUUUUGAGCUGAGACGUGAAUACGAGACGCUAAGGCGUCGAAGUAGUGUAUGUCAGACUUCCAAGAAAAGCUCGCACUGUCAUAGGUAAAAAAUGCCUGUACCAUAACCGACACAGGUGGGUAGGUAGAGUAUACUAAGGGGCGCGAGAUAACUCUCUCUAAGGAACUCGGCAAAAUGACUCCGUAACUUCGGGAGAAGGAGUGCCUUAUUUAUAAGGUUGCAAUAACAAGAUCCAAGCAACUGUUUACCAAAAACACAGGUCUCCGCUAAGUCGUAAGACGAUGUAUGGGGGCUGACGCCUGCCCAGUGCCAGAAGGUUAAAGAAGUUGGUUAGCAUUAGCGAAGCUGAUAACUGAAGCCCUGGUGAACGGCGGCCGUAACUAUAACGGUCCUAAGGUAGCGAAAUUCCUUGUCGGGUAAGUUCCGACCCGCACGAAAGGCGUAAUGAUUUGGAUACUGUCUCGGAGAGAGGCUCGGUGAAAUAGACUUGUCUGUGAAGAUGCGGACUACCUGCACCUGGACAGAAAGACCCUAUGAAGCUUUACUGUAACUUGAAAUUGAAAUUGGACUUUAGUCGCGCAGCAUAGGUGGGAAGCGUUGAGCAUAUUCUUGCGGGAAUAUAGGAGCUAUCAGUGAGAUACCACUCUUCUAAUGUUAGAUUUCUAACCUUGAACCAUUAUCUGGUCAAGGAACAGUUUCAGGCGGGCAGUUUGACUGGGGCGGUCGCCUCCCAAAUGGUAACGGAGGCGUACAAAGGUUUCCUCUGAACGGAUAGAAAUCGUAUCUAGAGUAUAAAGGCAUAAGGAAGCUUGACUGUGAGACCUACAAGUCGAGCAGGGACGAAAGUCGGUCUUAGUGAUCUGACGGUACUGAGUGGAAAGGCCGUCACUCAACGGAUAAAAGUUACUCUAGGGAUAACAGGCUGAUCUCCCCCAAGAGUUCACAUCGACGGGGAGGUUUGGCACCUCGAUGUCGGCUCAUCGCAUCCUGGGGCGGUAGUACGUCCCAAGGGUUGGGCUGUUCGCCCAUGAAAGCGGUACGCGAGCUGGGUUCAGAACGUCGUGAGACAGUUCGGUCCAUAUCCGGUGUAGGCGUUAGAAUAUUGAGAGGAGCCUUCUUUAGUACGAGAGGACCGAGAAGGACAUACCUCUGGUGUACCAGUUAUCGUGCCAACGGUAAACGCUGGGUAGCUAUGUAUGGAGUGGAUAACCGCUGAAAGCAUCUAAGUGGGAAGCCCACCUCAAGAUGAGUAUUCUCAUCACGUAAGUGAGUAAGGUCACGGUAAGACUAACCGUUUGAUAGGCGUUAAGUGUAAGCGUAGUAAUGCGUGUGCUGAGACGUCCUAACAGACCGAGGACUUG